GGUCGCGUAGCUCAGCUGGAUAGAGCAUCUGCCUUCUAAGCAGACGGUCAAAGGUUCGAAUCCUUUCGCGAUCACAA
rnacentral:tRNA from 12 species